AGAAUCCCUUAUGUGCCAGGUACUGCCUUAGAAUCAGUGAUGCUUCUAUGUCCUUGAGAAGGAAACUGAAAAUUCUAGAAAGAAUUUCAAAUACAUUCUUUUUCUCUACCCACUGAUGACCCAAAGUCUUCUAAAUUCUGUUUAGGAAAGCCACACCUACCUUCUUAGGCUUGUAAACCACUGUAAAUGAAAAACAGAAACUCUAAGCCUAGGGCAAAUCCUAGAUUACACCUGAAAAUAGAAAUACUUCUGGCAGAGGAUAUUGGGAAGAAACCACAGAGAAGAGCUGACCAUGAUGAGGGAACAGAGGACUAGCUGAGGACAAAGCACAAACCUGGAGCAGCACAUUGACAAGUCCUUGAAACAGGCAGAAGGACAUUCUUCUACAGACUCAUCUCCCUCGAUGUUCGUACUUUGCUAAGGGCAAAAGCCAAUCUUAGCCUGACCCUCAGGGUCCUGUGAGCCUACUUUAACAUAUAAAGAUUCCUUUAGAAAUUUCCUUUAUCUUUACCCCCCAAGAUAGGUGUUGGCAAUCAUCCCCCAAGCACAAGGGCCACUGAUACACAUCUGAUGAGUCUCAUGACUAAGAUUUUAUUAGAUGGUAAUAAGUGACCUUUUCCCAACAACAGCUAGCCUCCUCAAGGUCCUAGAAACCUUGCUUCCAAAAUUCCUUAGAGUACACUAUCCCCAAACCCCUCCCAACCCCAAGGUAUAUAAUCAGCUACCGCUCACAGGCCUGGGGCAGCCGCUCUUCCUACCCAUGGGUCCUGUCCCGGUACUUUAAUAAAACUACCAUU